AGAGUUUGAUCCUGGCUCAGGAUGAACGCUAGCUACAGGCUUAACACAUGCAAGUCGAGGGGCAGCAUUUUAGUUUGCUUGCAAACUAAAGAUGGCGACCGGCGCACGGGUGAGUAACACGUAUCCAACCUGCCGAUAACUCGGGGAUAGCCUUUCGAAAGAAAGAUUAAUAUCCGAUGGUAUAUUAAAACCGCAUGGUUUUACUAUUAAAGAAUUUCGGUUAUCGAUGGGGAUGCGUUCCAUUAGUUUGUUGGCGGGGUAACGGCCCACCAAGACAACGAUGGAUAGGGGUUCUGAGAGGAAGGUCCCCCACAUUGGAACUGAGACACGGUCCAAACUCCUACGGGAGGCAGCAGUGAGGAAUAUUGGUCAAUGGACGAGAGUCUGAACCAGCCAAGUAGCGUGAAGGAUGACUGCCCUAUGGGUUGUAAACUUCUUUUAUAUGGGAAUAAAGUUUUCCACGUGUGGAAUUUUGUAUGUACCAUAUGAAUAAGGAUCGGCUAACUCCGUGCCAGCAGCCGCGGUAAUACGGAGGAUCCGAGCGUUAUCCGGAUUUAUUGGGUUUAAAGGGAGCGUAGGUGGAUUGUUAAGUCAGUUGUGAAAGUUUGCGGCUCAACCGUAAAAUUGCAGUUGAAACUGGCAGUCUUGAGUACAGUAGAGGUGGGCGGAAUUCGUGGUGUAGCGGUGAAAUGCUUAGAUAUCACGAAGAACUCCGAUUGCGAAGGCAGCUCACUAGACUGCAACUGACACUGAUGCUCGAAAGUGUGGGUAUCAAACAGGAUUAGAUACCCUGGUAGUCCACACAGUAAACGAUGAAUACUCGCUGUUUGCGAUAUACAGUAAGCGGCCAAGCGAAAGCAUUAAGUAUUCCACCUGGGGAGUACGCCGGCAACGGUGAAACUCAAAGGAAUUGACGGGGGCCCGCACAAGCGGAGGAACAUGUGGUUUAAUUCGAUGAUACGCGAGGAACCUUACCCGGGCUUAAAUUGCAUUUGAAUAAUCUGGAAACAGGUUAGCCGCAAGGCAAAUGUGAAGGUGCUGCAUGGUUGUCGUCAGCUCGUGCCGUGAGGUGUCGGCUUAAGUGCCAUAACGAGCGCAACCCUUAUCUUUAGUUACUAACAGGUUAUGCUGAGGACUCUAGAGAGACUGCCGUCGUAAGAUGUGAGGAAGGUGGGGAUGACGUCAAAUCAGCACGGCCCUUACGUCCGGGGCUACACACGUGUUACAAUGGGGGGUACAGAAGGCAGCUACCUGGCGACAGGAUGCUAAUCCCAAAAACCUCUCUCAGUUCGGAUCGAAGUCUGCAACCCGACUUCGUGAAGCUGGAUUCGCUAGUAAUCGCGCAUCAGCCAUGGCGCGGUGAAUACGUUCCCGGGCCUUGUACACACCGCCCGUCAAGCCAUGAAAGCCGGGGGUACCUGAAGUACGUAACCGCAAGGAGCGUCCUAGGGUAAAACUGGUAAUUGGGGCUAAGUCGUAACAAGGUAGCCGUACCGGAAGGUGCGGCUG
rnacentral:rRNA from 1 species